rnacentral:lncRNA from 1 species
AUGGCUUUUUGUGCAGUGCAGACCCAGGGUCAUCACCGGCCCAUGGUUCUGUUCACAGUGGCCUCAAUUUAUAUGUUUGCUGCAUCCUUCCUGCUGCAGUAUCCACAACCUGCCCUGUACCAUGCUCUGCCCUUGGCCGGUGUCAAAGCCGUGUCCUUGGCCAUGUCCUGCCCCUGGUUCUACUCUCAGCCUCUCCCCAGCAGCCUGCUCUCCUCAGAUUGCUAUUUGACAGAGGAAGUCUUAACCCUUCCCUGUUUCCUUGCAGCUUUAAUUUUUCCUGCUCACGUGGCAGGAGAGGUGGCUCGUGGCACUUUGUGUAAAGGGAUCAGUAUUGUUUCCUUGGUUUCAGGGGAAGAGGCUGCCCUAGGUCUGGCAGUGACCCUGCAGAAAGGAAGGCCCAUGAGCUGUGCCACCUCUGCAUCCCGUGAGGGUUGUACAAUUGUUACUGCUUGUUCUCCUUCGUUAGCACUUGGGUCAAAGCAGGGCAUUGUCUCUGCUCAGGUCUUUGGUGCUUGGCUGGGAGUGCCCACCUCCCGAUGUGCCAUCACAGCAGCACUGCUGGACAGGGGGGAGCGGCUGGGGUACGAUCCUAGUGCCAGAGUGGACUGUGGCCUCCAAGCAGGUCUCACGGUCACGCUGCAGGAGAUGUUAGAAAGGCCAACAACGGUGUGGGCAGCCCUGGGGCAGGAGAUGCUGAAGAAACUGUGCAGGGGCUGCUGUGCUGCCAGUGGGGCAGGGAGCCAGGGGAGCAUGAGUGGGCUGUUUGUGAGGAGAGCAGCGUCAGCCUGGCCGUGCACGGGCUUCCUGCCCAGGUGCUCUCUGCUCACCCUCCUGCUCCAGGGUUGUCUGGAAACGUGGCUUAAGGGGAGGGACCUGCGUGGGCACAGCGGGUGCCGUGAGUGCGCCAGUCCCUUCCAGCAGGCAGCUGCACAGCAGAGCUCUGCUCCUCAGCCCGAGACACCACUGCACCCAGUGCUCUCACUGCACUACCUGGAGAGUGAGGGGCUGCGCCCGCUGCUGCCUGGUUGCUGA